ensembl:snRNA U4 U4 spliceosomal RNA
AGCUUUGUGCAAUGGCAGUAUCAUAGCCAGUGAUAUUUAUCCAAGGUAUGAUUGUUGCUAAUUGAAAAAUUCUUUACUGUGCAGGGAAGACUAAUAAUAAUAAUUAUUAAAUUAUA